rnacentral:piRNA from 1 species
CACAGAUGAUGCUAAGAUCUCUUAUUGGUGU